rnacentral:miRNA from 1 species
CCGGAGGAGCCCGGCGCUGC